UUGGUUAAGUUAGAAAGGGCGCACGGUGGAUGCCUUGGCACUAGGAGCCGAAGAAGGACGGGACUAACACCGAUAUGCUUUGGGGAGCUGUACGUAAGCGUUGAUCCAGAGAUUUCCGAAUGGGGGAACCCACUAUCUUUAGUCGGAUAGUAUCCUUACGUGAAUACAUAGCGUGAGGAAGGCAGACCCAGGGAACUGAAACAUCUAAGUACCUGGAGGAAGAGAAAGAAAAAUCGAUUUCCUGAGUAGCGGCGAGCGAAACGGAAAGAGCCCAAACCAAGAAGCUUGCUUCUUGGGGUUGUAGGACACUCUAUACGGAGUUACAAAAGAAAGUUAUAAAUGAAGCGGUCUGGAAAGGCCCGCCAAAGACGGUAACAGCCCGGUAGUUGAAAUGGCUUUCCCUCCAGAGUGGAUCCUGAGUACGGCGGAACACGUGAAAUUCCGUCGGAAUCCGGGAGGACCAUCUCCCAAGGCUAAAUACUCCCUAGUGACCGAUAGUGAACCAGUACCGUGAGGGAAAGGUGAAAAGCACCCCGGAAGGGGAGUGAAACAGUUCCUGAAACCGUGUGCCUACAAGUAGUUAGAGCCCGUUAAUGGGUGAUAGCGUGCCUUUUGUAGAAUGAACCGGCGAGUUACGAUUUGUUGCAAGGUUAAGCGGAAAAAGCGGAGCCGUAGCGAAAGCGAGUCUGAAUAGGGCGCAUAAGUAACAGGUCGUAGACCCGAAACCAGGUGAUCUACCCAUGUCCAGGAUGAAGGUAAGGUAAUACUUACUGGAGGUCCGAACCCACGCACGUUGAAAAGUGCGGGGAUGAGGUGUGGGUAGCGGAGAAAUUCCAAUCGAACUUGGAGAUAGCUGGUUCUCUCCGAAAUAGCUUUAGGGCUAGCCUCGAGGUAAAGAGUCAUGGAGGUAGAGCACUGUUUGGACUAGGGGCCCUUCUCGGGUUACCGAAUUCAGAUAAACUCCGAAUGCCAUGUACUUAUACUCGGGAGUCAGACUGCGAGUGAUAAGAUCCGUAGUCGAAAGGGAAACAGCCCAGACCACCAGUUAAGGUCCCCAAAUAUAUGUUAAGUGGAAAAGGAUGUGGGGUUGCUUAGACAACCAGGAUGUUGGCUUAGAAGCAGCCACCAUUGAAAGAGUGCGUAAUAGCUCAC
rnacentral:rRNA from 1 species